UGGGGAAUAUUGCACAAUGGGCGCAAGCCUGAUGCAGCAACGCCGCGUGAACGAUGAAGGUCUUCGGAUCGUAAAGUUCUGUUGCAGGGGAAGAUAAUGACGGUACCCUGUGAGGAAGCCCCGGCUAACUACGUGCCAGCAGCCGCGGUAAUACGUAGGGGGCUAGCGUUAUCCGGAUUUACUGGGCGUAAAGGGUGCGUAGGUGGUUUUUCAAGUCGGUGGUUAAAGGCUACGGCUCAACCGUAGUUAGCCUCCGAAACUGUAAGACUUGAGUGCAGGAGAGGAAAGUGGAAUUCCCAGUGUAGCGGUGAAAUGCGUAGAUAUUAGGAGGAACACCAGUAGCGAAGGCGGCUUUCUGAACUGCAACUGACACUGAGGCGCGAAAGCGUGGGGAGCAAACAGG
rnacentral:rRNA from 1 species